rnacentral:rRNA from 1 species
AUUAAGGACGUAGCGUAUUUACGAAAAGUUGUGAUGAGAAACGCAAUCUACUAUGAAUCACAAAUCUCCUAGGGUAAACCAUACGUUUUAGUAUUUACUACUAAAUUAAUUGAAACAUCUUAUUAGUUUAAGGAAUAGAAAUCAAACGAGAUUUCAUUAGUAGUGGCGAGCGAAAAUGAAUUAGAGUACAUACAAUAAAAAAGUUAAAUAAUUUGAAAUAAUUAACUAUAAAAGGUUAAAGUCCUGUAAGCUUUUGCGUAUAUUUGUAGUAGAAGAGAUUUCGAGGAGAUCUCUUUGAAUAUUGGAGGACCAUACUUCAAACUCUAAAUAUCUUCAUAUGACCGAUAGAAUAAAGUACUGUGAAGGAAAGAUGAAAAGAAUUCUUAGAUGGAAGUGAAAAGAUUUUGAAAUCUAAUACUCUCAACCGACCGAAGUAUUUAAAAUAUGACGGUGUGCCUUUUGUAUCAUGCAUUAGCGACUUUAAAUUUACAGCAAGCUUAAAUUGUUAAAUGUAAGCGUAGUUAAAGCAAGUGUUCAGUAUACACUAAAUAGUUGUAAAUUUAAGACCCGAAUCCAAGUGAUCUAGUUAUGAACAGGUUGAAUGCAUAAUAAUUUAUGUUGGAAGACCUAACUCGUAACUGUUGCAAAAGUUUUAGAUGAUUUGUAAUUAGGGGUGAAAGGCCAAUCAAUCUUGGUGAUAGCUGGUUUUCCACGAAAUAUAUUUAGGUAUAGCGUAAUUUUAGGUAGCAAAGGGUAGAGCUCUUUUUAAACUAGGGGAGUCAAUAAACUUUACUGAAUUUAGAUAAACUACGAAUAUUUGCUAAAUUUAAGAUUAUAGUCAGACUUUGAGUGCUAAGAUUUUAAGUCAAGAGGGAAACAGCCCAGAUUAUUAACUAAGGCCCAUAAAUGAAAGCUAAGUGAUAAAGAAAGUGAUUAGACCAAGAUAGUUAGAAGGUGAGCUUGGAAGCAGCUAUCCUUUAAAAAAUGCGUAAUUGCAUACUAAUUGAAAAUAUUUUAUUUAAGUCUAGUUGCGUCGAAAAUUCAUAGGACUUAUGCUUUCUGCCGAAGUUAUAAAUUUAAAUUAAAAUAAUUUAAAUGGUAGUGGAACGUUUUUUAAGCCAGUGAAGUUAAAUUGUUAAAUUUAAUCGAGGUAUAAAAAGUGAGAAUGCUAAUAUAAGUAACGUUAAACAAUGUAAAAAGCAUUGUCGCCUAAAAUUUAAAGUUUUCUAUGCAAUGUUUAUCAUCGUAGAAUCAAUCGGUCUCUAAGAAUUUAAUAUCGAUAGAUAUGUUUGAUGAGAA